GCUCAGAUUGAACGCUGGCGGCAGGCCUAACACAUGCAAGUCGAGCGGAUGAAAGGAGCUUGCUCCUGGAUUCAGCGGCGGACGGGUGAGUAAUGCCUAGGAAUCUGCCUGGUAGUGGGGGACAACGUUUCGAAAGGAACGCUAAUACCGCAUACGUCCUACGGGAGAAAGCAGGGGACCUUCGGGCCUUGCGCUAUCAGAUGAGCCUAGGUCGGAUUAGCUAGUUGGUGAGGUAAUGGCUCACCAAGGCGACGAUCCGUAACUGGUCUGAGAGGAUGAUCAGUCACACUGGAACUGAGACACGGUCCAGACUCCUACGGGAGGCAGCAGUGGGGAAUAUUGGACAAUGGGNGAAAGCCUGAUCCAGCCAUGCCGCGUGUGUGAAGAAGGUCUUCGGAUUGUAAAGCACUUUAAGUUGGGAGGAAGGGCAGUAAAUUAAUACUUUGCUGUUUUGACGUUACCGACAGAAUAAGCACCG
rnacentral:rRNA from 1 species